UAGGAAAGUCAUAAAUAUAUAAAUUAUAUUAUAUAAUUAAUAUAAUAAUAAAAUAAAUUAUAUAUUUUAUUUAUAAUAUUAUUUCUUUAUAAGAUAAAUAUUAUCUAAUUAAUAAUUAGAUUGAAUAAUAUUUAUAAAGAAAUAUAUAUAAAAAAUCAUUAUAUAAAUUUAAUUAUAAUUUAAAUAAAUUUUAUAUAAAUUAAUAUAAUAUUAAUAAAGUAAUUAGUAUAAAUAAAUAAUAUGAAAAUAAAACUUAAUAAAUAUAUAAAUAUAGUCCGGCCCGCCCCGCGGGGCGGACCGGAGUCCAUAUAUAUAUAUUAAUAAAAAGUAAUAUAUAUAUAUAUAUUGGAAUAGUUAUAUUAUUAUACAGAAAUAUGCUUAA
rnacentral:sRNA from 1 species